UACGUAGGGUGCAGGCGUUAAUCGGAAUUACUGGGCGUAAAGCGUGCGCAGGCGGUUUGCUAAGACAGGUGUGAAAUCCCCAGGCUUAACCUGGGAACUGCGUCGGAUACUGGAUGGCUUGAAUCCGGGAGAGGGAUGCGGAAUUCCAGGUGUAGCGGUGAAAUGCGUAGAUAUCUGGAGGAACACCGGUGGCGAAGGCGGCAUCCUGGACCGGCAUUGACGCUGAUGAGCGAAAGCCAGGGAGCAAAGCGGG
rnacentral:rRNA from 1 species